rnacentral:lncRNA from 1 species
UUAAUGUGCAAACAGAAAUGUCCUUCUCUCUACAGGAAAAGACCUCCCGCCUGAGACGUACACUGUAGGAUAAGUGGACACUCAUCCCCACGUUGGCAGGGCCGCUGGGCCUUCACACAGCGCACCAAGUUCACCCCACUACUCUGCACCAUAGGAGCAGCCUCCGGUGAGGCCGCAGCAGUGGUUGACAUCUGGUCUAGGCAUCCUAUUGAAAACCUGUUCAAGUUCUCACAAGAAGUCCACAUGCAGCCUUUGGGAACUGUGCUGCUCAUGUGUUCUGGGAUGCUGUGACUGACAGAUCAUGUCUACUUCCCCAACCAGCUUUGCCAUGCCCUCACC